AGCAGCCGCGGUAAUUCCAGCUCCAAUAGCGUAUAUUAAAGUUGUUGCAGUUAAAAGCUCGUAGUUGAAUUUCGGGGUUAGUAGGUUGGUCAUGCCUCUGGUAUGUACUGGUCUCACUGAUUCCUCCUUCCUGAUGAGCCGUAAUGCCAUUAAUUUGGUGUUGCGGGGAAUUUGGACUGUUACUUUGAAAAAAUUAGAGUGUUUAAAGCAAGCUAACGCUUGAAUACAUUAGCAUGGAAUAAUGAAAUAGGACGUUCGAUCCUAUUUUGUUGGUUUCUAGGAUUGACGUAAUGAUUAAUAGGGAUAGUUGGGGGCAUUAGUAUUCAAUUGUCAGAGGUGAAAUUCUUGGAUUUAUUGAAGACUAACUACUGCGAAAGCAUUUGCCAAGGAUGUUUUCAUUAAUCAAGAACGAAAGUUAGGGGAUCGAAGACGAUCAGAUACCGUCGUAGUCUUAACCAUAAACUAUGCCGACUAGGGAUCGGAUGAUGUUAAUUUUUUAAUGACUCAUUCGGCGCCUUAC
rnacentral:rRNA from 1 species